AUUGAACGCUGGCGGCAGGCCUAACACAUGCAAGUCGAACGGUAGCACAGAGGAGCUUGCUCCUUGGGUGACGAGUGGCGGACGGGUGAGUAAUGUCUGGGAAACUGCCCGAUGGAGGGGGAUAACUACUGGAAACGGUAGCUAAUACCGCAUAACGUCGCAAGACCAAAGAGGGGGACCUUCGGGCCUCUUGCCAUCGGAUGUGCCCAGAUGGGAUUAGCUAGUAGGUGGGGUAACGGCUCACCUAGGCGACGAUCCCUAGCUGGUCUGAGAGGAUGACCAGCCACACUGGAACUGAGACACGGUCCAGACUCCUACGGGAGGCAGCAGUGGGGAAUAUUGCACAAUGGGCGCAAGCCUGAUGCAGCCAUGCCGCGUGUAUGAAGAAGGCCUUCGGGUUGUAAAGUACUUUCAGCGAGGAGGAAGGUGUUGUGGUUAAUAACCACAGCAAUUGACGUUACUCGCAGAAGAAGCACCGGCUAACUCCGUGCCAGCCGCCGCGGUAAAAC
rnacentral:rRNA from 1 species